AUGCAAGUGGUAGCGUGGAAUUGCCUGGGGCUUGGGAACCAGCCGGCAGUUCAAGGUCUUUUGGAUAUGCAAAAGGCCGAAGAUCCUGAUAUCCUUUUCCUGUCUGAAACAAAGCUUGACAGGAAUAGGAUGCAAAGGUUCAAGGGGAUGUUGAACAUGCAAAACUUGGAGGUUAGGGACUGUGUUGGGCAAAGCGGUGGCCUAGCUCUGUUCUGGAAGAAAGAGGUGAAGGUUCAGGUGAAGCCUGGGGCGUCUCGCGAUCACAUUGAUGCGGAGAUCACCGGGGAGGAUGGGUUCUUGUGGAGGCUCACGGGCAUCUACGGGGAACCAAAGGUGGGGCGAAGGGAGAAGACGUGGAAGUUGAUGCGAACCCUUCACGGGCAUUCAGGGCUGCCUUGGCUGUGCUGUGGUGAUUUCAACGAGAUCCUGUUUGCCGAAGAGAAGCAAGGGGGGAAGCAGAGGGCACAAGCAGGUAUGGGCAGAUUUCAAAGUGCCCUAGAGUUCUGCGAGCUGGAGGAUUUGGGUUUCGUGGGAGACCCGUAUACGUGGCGAAACCAUAGUCAUCAAGCUGAAACCUACAUCAAAGCGAGGUUGGACAGGGCUGUGGCUAACCAAGAAUGA
rnacentral:rRNA from 1 species